UACAGAGAAAGCAGUGCAUAGCACAGCAGAGCAAAGCAAGGCAAAAUAGCAGCCAAAGCCACGAGAAUCAAGAAGUCAGUGAAGAGCAGGAAAGGAAUGGAGGAAUCUGUCCAGAGCUGUGCCCCUGCUUGCCACAGGAGCUGCGCGGGAGGAGAAGAACGUGGGCCAAAAGGAAUGGAGGAAUCUGUCCAGAGCUGUGCCCCUGCUUGCCACAGGAGCUGCGCGGGAGGAGAAGAACGUGGGCCAAAAGGAAUGGAGGAAUCUGUCCAGAGCUGUGCCCCUGCUUGCCAAGGAGCUGCGCGGGAGGAGAAGAACGUGGGCCAAAAGGUAAGAGGAGCUCCUUUGGGUUUGGGCUUGAAGCAAAGCUGAGAAGCCAUGCCGGGAGGAG
ensembl:lncRNA